GGGGUUGUGGCUCAGCGGCAGAGCACUCACCUAGCACCCUAGCACGUGUGAGGCCCUGGGUUCGAUCCUCAGAACCACA
rnacentral:tRNA from 1 species